UACAGAGGUCUCAAGCGUUGUUCGGAUUCAUUGGGCGUAAAGGGGGCGUAGGCGGCGCGGUAAGUCGGGUGUGAAAUCUCGGGGCUUAACUCCGAAACUGCAUUCGAUACUGCCGUGCUUGAGGACUGGAGAGGAGACUGGAAUUUACGGUGUAGCGGUGAAAUGCGUAGAUAUCGUAAGGAAGACCAGUGGCGAAGGCGGGUCUCUGGACAGUUCCUGACGCUGAGGCACGAAGGUCAGGGGAGCAAACGGG
rnacentral:rRNA from 1 species